rnacentral:misc_RNA from 1 species
GUGAAUCAUCGAAUUUUUGAACGCAAAUUGCACUCUCCUCGGAGAGUAUGCCUGUUUGAGGGUCAGCCUAUAAAAAUCGACAUCGUUGCUGUUUCGCGGUGGCGUUCGUCGGAAAUUGGGUCAUCUUAAAUCUUUUUGUUUUAAGCGACUUAAAAUUUUCUUUUUGUUUCCUUAACGUUGCUUCUAUCUAUUUCUUCACUCGUCUUUUAC